CAAAGCGUUUUCUCCCCUUUCCUUGCCUCGUUUCUCCUUCCAGGUGUGUGUUUCCCUACUACUGUCCCCCAGGCAGUGCCCAUCCAUUGGUCUGUGAAGGAGGAUACAUGGCACUCAGUUUGCCUGGUCCAAGGGAUUCCUUUGAGAAAUUCUGCAGGAUCUGUGACGCAGGCACCUAUCGCAACGACUCUCUCGUCGCAGCACCGUGUCAGCCCUGCCCAGCAGGCUUCGUCUGCCCACAGGAUGUCACUGCAAGCAGUACGUCUCUGCUGAGGAGCUUUGUGACCAAGCAUGUUUGCUGAGAGCCCCGCAGAUCUCCUUGAGAUUUGGCAUCAAUAGAGAGCUGCUUCUGAGGGUGGAUGAAAGAGAGGAGAGGGUAAGUAAUGGAGUUGGGGACUGCUGUCUGAGUAUGAGUCUGG
rnacentral:lncRNA from 1 species